UGGGGAAUUUUGGACAAUGGGCGAAAGCCUGAUCCAGCAAUGCCGCGUGUGUGAAGAAGGCCUUCGGGUUGUAAAGCACUUUUGUCCGGAAAGAAAUCCUUGGCUCUAAUACAGUCGGGGGAUGACGGUACCGGAAGAAUAAGCACCGGCUAACUACGUGCCAGCAGCCGCGGUAAUACGUAGGGUGCAAGCGUUAAUCGGAAUUACUGGGCGUAAAGCGUGCGCAGGCGGUUUGCUAAGACCGAUGUGAAAUCCCCGGGCUCAACCUGGGGACUGCAUUGGUGACUGGCAGGCUAGAGUAUGGCAGAGGGGGGUAGAAUUCCACGUGUAGCAGUGAAAUGCGUAGAGAUGUGGAGGAAUACCGAUGGCGAAGGCAGCCCCCUGGGCCAAUACUAGACUCAUGCACGAAAGCGUGGGGAGCAAACAGGAUUAGAUACCCUGGUAGUCCACGCCCUAAACGAUGUCAACUAGUUGUUGGGGAUUCAUUUCCUUAGUAACGUAGCUAACGCGUGAAGUUGACCGCCU
rnacentral:rRNA from 1 species